AAAAGCCCAAUUUUGGGGGGCUUGGAACACAUUAUUUCUUUUUCCAUUCAUUGUAAUGGGAAACAUCGAUUCGGUUUUCGAACAAAUCACUUCUCGAACCGUUGUGGUCGAGAACCGAGGCAUCAGUUCGUGUAUUAGUUUGGCACCUUUUUGCGAUGUCUUGUUGCUGUUGGGUUUAAUUCAUUCAUCGAUGGUCUUUUUCAAGCCACGUUUGAGAUGUCCUUUUUUUUUUUGGGGGCAGUCCUUUAACGCACCACGUGAGAGUGAACUUCAAAGUUUGCGUUCGCUUUGUUCUCGAUGCGGUUACGAAUCGCCAGGAUCGUCUCCUUUGCCUGACAGUUUGCCUUUAUCCCCUAAUAUUUAUGGUAAUAUUGCGCGAGAAUGCCAAAAGGCUGAUGCGACCCACGCUGGUCUCGCCGUCCGUGGUUUGCUCCAGCAGCCCGUUGUCCUCGGCCAGGUGGUACACCGGGUUGCCUUUGCCGCCAUGGAUCCAGGUGGCCCCAAGCUCCAAAGCGCUUUCGCCUGCAAGUCGACGCGCAGGGAUGAAAACGACACCAGAAGCGCCGACUUUUAACGACUGGCCGACUCUCACUUUGGCAAAUAUACGAGCGGUGAGGAAGCGAGAUCCGGGCGGCCUCUACCAAGCCAUACCAAGGAAGUAUGGCGCUCGUGCACCUACGUCAUCAAAUCACAUGACUUUGGGUUACCUCGCCAUAUUGCCGGUCAAGCUAAGCAUCGCUCGAUGCUAAGUCGGUUGGAGACGACACGAAAAUACGCCUUGUAGCACGACGCCCCAGAGUCUUGUCCGACACCGUCAGACGUUUAGAAGGUGAAAAUAAACGACGGUACGUGGCAAAAUGAGAUAAACUCGGCACAGAGGACCCCUAUUUAAUGCCGAAGUCGACGUUUUCGCCGAUAAGAAAUUGGACCGUUAAUUUGCUUUCUCUUGUCUUGGACAACUGGAUCGACACGUAUCUGGUGAGUAAGUCGUCGGGAUUUACACACAAAAGUUUGAAAGCGUGUAAAAGUCUGGACGUCUGGAGUCUUGUCUGUUGUGUGUCUCGGGUUGUUAUAAAUGUUCUUCUCCGGUUCAAUGUCGAAUGUCGAGCAGGUCCGUUUGACCGGCAAUAUGGCGCCGUGAAAAAGGUGACGUCACGUGCACGAGCUCUAUACACUGUAUGUACACUAGAUUUCUUUUACAAUAAUACUUAACCAAAUGUAUAAUUUCAUAAUGUACGUGACUGCAGAUGGGAAAAGCGAAGUGUGUAGAGUCUGAUGUUUAAAAUGCGUCUGACCUUUUUGCAAAUAAAAUCUAUGUAUCCUGGUA